GAUGAACGCUGGCGGCGUGCCUAAUACAUGCAAGUCGAGCGAACGUACGAGAAUCUUGCUUCUCUGAUGUUAGCGGCGGACGGGUGAGUAACACGUGGAUAACCUACCUAUAAGACUGGGAUAACUUCGGGAAACCGGAGCUAAUACCGGAUAAUAUUUUGAACCGCAUGGUUCAAAAGUGAAAGACGGUCUUGCUGUCACUUAUAGAUGGAUCCGCGCUGCAUUAGCUAGUUGGUAAGGUAACGGCUUACCAAGGCAACGAUGCAUAGCCGACCUGAGAGGGUGAUCGGCCACGCUGGAACUGAGACACGCUCCAGACUCGUACGGGCGGAAGCAGUAGGGAAUCUUCCGCAAUGGGCGUAAGCCUGAAGGAGCAAAAGCGCGUGAGUGAUGAGGGGCUUCGGAUCGUAAAACUCUGUUAUUAGAGAAGAACAUAUGUGUAAGUAACUGUGCACAUGUUGACGGUACCUAAACAGAAAGCGCCGGCUAACUACGUG
rnacentral:rRNA from 1 species